rnacentral:tRNA from 1 species
GGGGCUGUAGCUCAGUGGUAGAGCGCCCACCUCCCAUGUGUGAGGCAUUGGGUUCGAUCCUCAGCACCA